rnacentral:snRNA from 1 species
GGAUGUAAAGACAGUCUGGCUGCCAGAUGUCACCCUAGCGAUCACCAGGUUUGAUUCUGCUGACCUGGCUGACUAGGCAGUGUUCCUUUCCUCCUUCCCUGUCUCCCCCCUCUCUCUUCUCCCCUCUCCCCCACCCCAUACAACCUCAAGUCAGGUGCAUGCUCCAUAGGAAAACAGCAACCUUUCCUUUUGAGAGAUGGGCAGUUCUUUGGGCAAGGGUCUAAAUAAUAAGAACCUCAUUCCCCUGCUAGAGCCUCGUAGAAGUAAAUUUUUGCAAAUAAUUUGUCUCUUAAAAGACUUGUAUUUUU